rnacentral:sRNA from 1 species
AUCUGUCCUGCAUGUCUCCAUACCUCUUCCAUCCACCUCAUCUCCCCACCUCACCUUUCUUUUUCUUUGUUUGGCUUUAUAUAGGUGCUGGGAGUCCCUACAGAGGAUACUUGGCCGGGAGUCUCCAAGCUACCUAACUACAAUCCAGGCUGGGCAGGGUUCCUGAAGCUGAAGACCUGGCCUCCCAGAUGCUAAAAGGCUUUCCCAGAGACCGCGUCUCCGCCCAGGAAGCACUUGUUCAUGAUUAUUUCAGCGCCCUGCCAUCUCAGCUGUACCAGCUUCCUGAUGAGGAGUCUUUGUUUACAGUUUCAGGAGUGAGGCUAAAGCCAGAAAUGUGUGACCUUUUGGCCUCCUACCAGAAAGGCCACCACCCAGCCCAGUUUAGCAAAUGGUGGUGAAAAGAAAGGGCGAGAUCACCAAGGUUCUUCCAGGGCUGUAUUUCUGCAGUUUCGGUUUUCAUUUGCUUCAGCUUACUAAGAAGCUUCAAAUCUAACUCCAUACUGAACAAGGGGUU